UUCUAGAGAAAAAUAAUGAGGGGUGUCACGGGGUAUGACUAUAUAGGUCUUGUAGAAGAGAAACAGGCGCUUCUUUUGCGCAAGGUAUCAAAGGGCGCUAUGUUCAAAAAUCUGAAACUAGAGCUCAAAAUUUGAAAAAAAUGGAAAAAACAGGGGGGUCGGCCUAUUCAAGGGCUUCUAGAGAAAAAUAAUGAGGGGUGUCACGGGGUAUGACUAUAUAGGUCUUGUAGAAGAGAAACAGGCGCUUCUUUUGCGCAAGGUAUCAAAGGGCGCUAUGUUCAAAAAUCUGAAACUAGAGCUCAAAAUUUGAAAAAAAUGGAAAAAAGGGGGG
rnacentral:lncRNA from 1 species